AAAGUGCUCUCAACCAUCCAUCUCACCCUAUGUGCACCACCGCGUGGGGUUCCCUUUUGGUUUAUCCCGAGGGGGGCUCGCGUUUUCACACAAACUCGAUACAGUGUAGAAUGUCUCUUUGCGAUAACACGCAAUUAAUACAACUUUCAACAACGGAUCUCUUGGCUCUCGCAUCGAUGAAGAACGCAGCGAAAUGCGAUACGUAAUGUGAAUUGCAGAAUUCAGUGAAUCAUCGAAUCUUUGAACGCACCUUGCGCCCCUUGGCAUUCCGAGGGGCACACCCGUUUGAGUGUCGUGAAAUUCUCAAAAACCUUUCUUUUAUGAAAGGGUUUUGGACUUGGAGGCUUUUUGCUGGCUUCACCUCGAAGCGAGCUCCUCCUAAAUGAAUUAGUGGGGUCUGCUUUGCCGAUCCUUGACGUGAUAAGAUGUUACUACGUCUCGGGUUUGGCGAUGGCACCCGCUUCUAAUCGUCUCAUUGACAAUGAUGGCGUUCCGGUCACCACCGUUUCAUCGGUCGGGAGGCUUGACCCACCAAAAAAACCUUGACCUCAAAUCGGGUGAGACUACCCGCUGAACUU
rnacentral:rRNA from 1 species